CUCGUGUCGUGAGAUGUUGGGUUAAGUCCCGCAACGAGCGCAACCCUCGUCCUAGUUGCUAACAGUUCGGCUGAGCACUCUAGGGAGACUGCCUUGCAAGGAGGAGGAAGGUGAGGACGACGUCAAGUCAUCAUGGCCCUUACGGCCAGGGCUACACACGUGCUACAAUGGGGCGUACAGAGAGCUGCGAUACCGCGAGGUGGAGCCAAUCUCUUAAAGACGUCUCUCAGUUCGGAUUGUUCUCUGCAACUCGAGAACAUGAAGCUGGAAUCACUAGUAAUCGCAGAUCAGCUAUGCUGCGGUGAAUACCGGUUCCCGGGUCUU
rnacentral:rRNA from 1 species